GUAACCUGGCUCAUCUUCAACCUUUGACAAUCUAGUGAUUUUAGAAGUCACAGAAGGUGCUCCGCAGUGGGUCCAUGACUGGCCUGGUAUUUUCAAUCCUGUCCAUCCACCCACACACCAAAAGAAACGGAGUUCACCAUCGAC